UUUUGUGUAGUGGCUUUGCUGGCAUGCAUCUAUAAAACAUACAACGUUUUUUUGCCCCAUCAAGAUUUACAGUUGAUGUCAUUUACAUACACUUAGGUUGAAGUCAUUAAAACUGGUUUACAUACACUUAGGUUGGAGUCAUUAAAACUGGUUUACAUACACUUAGGUUGGAGUCAUUAAAACUGGUUUACAUACACUUAGGUUGGAGUCAUUAAAACUGGUUUACAUACACUUAGGUUGGAGUCAUUAAAACUGGUUUACAUACACUUAGGUUGGAGUCAUUAAAACUGGUUUACAUACACUUAGGUUGGAGUCAUUAAAACUAGUUUACAUACACUUAGGUUGGAGUCAUUAAAACUGGUUUACAUACACUUAGGUUGGAGUCAUUAAAACUGGUUUACAUACACUUAGGUUGGAGUCAUUAAAACUGGUUUACAUACACUUAGGUUGGAGUCAUUAAAACUGGUUUACAUACACUUAGGUUGGAGUCAUUAAAACUAGUUUACAUACACUUAGGUUGGA